rnacentral:ncRNA from 1 species
UCACGAACAAGGCAAACCUAUCGAAAGGUAGGGACGCAAAGCUUCCGGCCUAAGAGCUGAAUAUAUACCUAUUUUUUAUUCAACUUAAGGUAGCGGGGUUGCCGAU